UACCUCCGUGUGUCGUCGUGCGAGUCAGAGAGUAGUGUCUCGUCGUCAGAACGAACGCUGGCGGCAGGCCUAACACAUGCAAGUCGAGCGCGCCCUUCGGGGUGAGCGGCGGACGGGUUAGUAACGCGUGGGAACGUACCCUUUGGUAGGGAAUAGCCACUGGAAACGGUGAGUAAUACCCUAUGAGCCCUUCGGGGGAAAGAUUUAUCGCCAAAGGAUCGGCCCGCGUUAGAUUAGGUAGUUGGUGGGGUAAUGGCCUACCAAGCCUACGAUCUAUAGCUGGUUUUAGAGGAUGAUCAGCAACACUGGGACUGAGACACGGCCCAGACUCCUACGGGAGGCAGCAGUGGGGAAUCUUGGACAAUGGGGGCAACCCUGAAUCCAGCCAUGCCGCGUGAGUGAAGAAGGCCUUAGGGUCGUAAAGCUCUUUCGCCUGUGAAGAUAAUGACGGUAGCAGGUAAAGAAACCCCGGCUAACUCCGUGCCAGCAGCCGC
rnacentral:rRNA from 1 species